GCCUCUCCAACAGCCCCUGGAAUGUUGGGGUUUGCACCGUGGCAACCAUCAACAGCCCCUGCAAUGUUGGGCUUUGGAGCCUGGCAACCAUCAACAGCCCAUGGAAUGCUGGGCUUUGCACCUUGGCAACCAUCAACAGCCCAUGGAAUGUUGGGGUUUGCACCGUGGCAACCAUCAACAGCCCAAGGAAUGUUGGGGUGUGCAGCCUGGCAACUGUCAACAGCUCCUGAACAUUGGGGCUUUGACCUUGCAACGGCCAACAGCACUUUGAUCUUGUGCUCUUGACCCAGCAAAGGCCAACGACCCUUGGAUAUUGGGGUUUGACCCUGCAAAGGCCAACGGCCUUUGGAGAUUGGGGUUUGACCCUGUGAAGUCAAACAACCUUUGGAGAUUGGGGUUUAGACCCUGCAAAGGCCAAAAGCCUUUGGAGAUUGGGGUUUAGACCCUGCAAAGGCCAAAAGCCUUUGGACACUGGGGUUUAGACCCUGCAAAGGCCAACAGCCUUUGGACACUGGGGUUUAGACCCUGCAAAGGCCAAAAGCCUUUGGACACUGGGGUUUAGACCCUGCAAAGGCCAACGGCCUUUGGACACUGACAUUUGGUCACUGCUCGUGCCAAGGGGCAGAUGGAGACCCGGCGGGGAGCUCGAGGCCUUUCUCACCAGGGACGUUUCUCCAGAGCCCCUGAGGUGCUGUUAGACGGCAGUGGCAGCAUGGCCAGUUCCAUCACCGGCACUGACCGUUCCCAGCAUGCAGCCUCCAGGAACAGCCUCUCAACUCUGACAUCCACUGAUGCACAGCAUCCCUUUAAAUUGGUUUGGGAAGCCACAGAGAGUUGUGGGCGCUUGCA